rnacentral:rRNA from 1 species
AUACGUAGGGAGCAAGCGUUGUCCGGAUUUACUGGGUGUAAAGGGUGCGUAGGCGGCAGCACAAGUCAGGUGUGAAAGUCCAUGGCUCAACUGUGGGAGUGCAUUUGAGACUGAAGAUCUAGAGUGCAGGAGAGGGAAGCGGAAUUCCUAGUGUAGCGGUGAAAUGCGUAGAUAUUAGGAAGAACACCAGUGGCGAAGGCGGCUUUCUGGACUGUAACUGACGCUGAAGCACGAAAGCGUGGGGAGCAAACAGGAUUAGAUACCCUGGUAGUCCACGCUGUAAACGAUGAGUAUUAGGUGUAGGGGACGAUAGUCUUCUGUGCCGGAGCAAACGCAAUAAAUACUCCGCCUGGGGAGUACGGUCACAAGACUAAA